GACAGAGGGUGCAAACGUUGCUCGGAAUCACUGGGCGUAAAGGGCGUGUAGGCGGGCAGGUAAGUCGGGCGUGAAAUCCCUGAGCUCAACUCAGGAACUGCACUCGAAACUACUUGUCUUGAGUACCGGAGAGGAAAGCGGAAUACCUGGUGUAGAGGUGAAAUUCGUAGAUAUCAGGUGGAACACCAGUGGCGAAGGCGGCUUUCUGGACGGUAACUGACGCUGAGACGCGAAAGCGUGGGUAGCAAACAGG
rnacentral:rRNA from 1 species